GACGAACGCUGGCGGCGUGCCUAAUACAUGCAAGUAGAACGCACAGUUUAUACCGUAGCUUGCUACACCAUAGACUGUGAGUUGCGAACGGGUGAGUAACGCGUAGGUAACCUGCCUGGUAGCGGGGGAUAACUAUUGGAAACGAUAGCUAAUACCGCAUAAUAUUAAUUAUUGCAUGAUAAUUAAUUGAAAGGUGCAAUCGCACCACUACCAGAUGGACCUGCGUUGUAUUAGCUAGUAGGUGAGGUAACGGCUCACCUAGGCGACGAUACAUAGCCGACCUGGGAGGGUGAUCGGCCACACUGGGACUGGGACACGGCCCAGACUCCUACGGGAGGGAGCAGUAGGGGAUCUUCGGCAAUGGACGGAAGUCUGACCGAGCAACGCCGCGUGAGUGGAGAAGGUUUUCGGGUCGUAAAGCUCUGUUGUAAGAGAAGAACGGGUGUGAGAGUGGAAAGUUCACACUGUGACGGUAUCUUACCAGAAAGGGACGGCUAACUACGUG
rnacentral:rRNA from 1 species